rnacentral:misc_RNA from 1 species
GAAACGCGAUAUUUAGUGCGAAUUGCAGAAUUCAGUGAAUCAUCAAAAUUUUGAACGCAAGUUGCGCUUUUGGGUUACGCCUGAGAGCAUGCCUCUUUCAGUGUCACUCUACCAUACAAUCAUCUAUGAUUGUGUAUUGCAUUUCCUUUUGGAUUUGUUGAAUAUAAAGUGUUGUUGAUAAUUUGUCGUGGGCAUCACCUGACGUGUUAAUUCUGGACAGUUUCUGUUCAAGGAUGAAAUGUUGGUGAGAUGUUUACAGUUACACAAGUCAUCAUAAAGACAACAUCAGUAUAUCACCUAAUAGUGAUAAACACCUAAUCAAUGACCUGAGAGAGGUAAGAUUACCCGCUUGACUUAA